GACGAACGCUGGCGGCGUGCUUAACACAUGCAAGUCGAGCGGUAAGGCCCUUUCGGGGGUACACGAGCGGCGAACGGGUGAGUAACACGUGGGUGACCUGCCCUCGGCUCUAGGAUAAGCCUGGGAAACCGGGUCUAAUACUGGAUAUGACUCCAUGACGCAUGUUGUGGGGUGGAAAGCCUUGUGCGGCUGAGGAUGGGCCCGCGGCCUAUCAGCUUGUUGGUGGGGUGAUGGCCUACCAAGGCGACGACGGGUAGCCGGCCUGAGAGGGCGACCGGCCACACUGGGACUGAGACACGGCCCAGACUCCUACGGGAGGCAGCAGUGGGGAACCUUGCGCAAUGGGCGAAAGCCUGACGCAGCGACGCCGCGUGAGGGAUGACGGCCUCGGU
rnacentral:rRNA from 1 species